AUUGAACGCUGGCGGGAUGCCUUACACAUGCAAGUCGAACGGAGUGGCGAACGGGUGCGUAAUGUAUCGGACCGUGCCCAGUCGCGGGGGAGAACUACGCGAAAGCGUAGCUAAUACCGCAUACUAUUGGAGCGGCAGAUAUCGGAUUAGCUAGAUGGUGGGGUAACGGCUCACCCAGGCGACGGCCCGUAGCUGGUUUGAGAGGACGACCAGCCACACUGGGACUGAGACACGGCCCAGACUCCUACGGGAGGCAGCAGUGGGGAAUUUUGGACAAUGGGGGAAACCCUGAUCCAGCCAUCCCGCGUGUGUGAUGAAGGCCUUCGGGUUGUAAAGCACUUUUGGCAGGAAAGCGGUACCUGCAGAAUAAGCACCGGCUAACUACGUGCCAGCCGCCGCGGUAAUUC
rnacentral:rRNA from 1 species